UACAGAGGGUGCGAGCGUUAAUCGGAUUUACUGGGCGUAAAGCGUGUGUAGGCGGUUCGUUAAGUCGGAUGUGAAAGCCCUGGGCUCAACCUGGGAAUUGCACUCGAUACCGGCGAGCUAGAGUACGGUAGAGGGCGGCGGAAUUCCGGGUGUAGCGGUGAAAUGCGUAGAUAUCCGGAGGAACACCGAUGGCGAAGGCAACCGCCUGGGCCUGUACUGACGCUGAGACACGAAAGCGUGGGGAGCAAACAGG
rnacentral:rRNA from 1 species